UACGUAGGGUGCAAGCGUUAAUCGGAAUUACUGGGCGUAAAGCGUGCGCAGGCGGUUGUGCAAGACAGAUGUGAAAUCCCCGGGCUCAACCUGGGAAUUGCAUUUGUGACUGCACGGCUAGAGUGUGUCAGAGGGGGGUAGAAUUCCAUGUGUAGCAGUGAAAUGCGUAGAGAUGUGGAGGAAUACCGAUGGCGAAGGCAGCCCCCUGGGCCAACACUGACGCUCAGGCACGAAAGCGUGGGGAGCAAACAGG
rnacentral:rRNA from 1 species